rfam:Gossypium raimondii Chr11_contig_699, whole genome shotgun sequence.
AACCCUUGGUGAGGGCAUAUUCUCAAUAAAUCCUUAUACCUCUCUCAUGCAUCAUAUAGGAUCUCUAAGUCUAUCUGUAUGAAGGAAGAGAUAUCAUUCCUCAACUU